rnacentral:rRNA from 1 species
GCUUAACACAUGCAAGUCGAGCGAAGCGCUUAAGUUUGAUUCUUCGGAUGAAGACUUUUGCGACUGAGCGGCGGACGGGUGAGUAACGCGUGGGUAACCUGCCUCAUACAGGGGGAUAACAGUUAGAAAUGGCUGCUAAUACCGCAUAAGACCACAGUACUGCAUGGUACAGUGGUAAAAACUCCGGUGGUAUGAGAUGGACCCGCGUCUGAUUAGGUAGUUGGUGAGGUAACGGCCCACCAAGCCGACGAUCAGUAGCCGACCUGAGAGGGUGACCGGCCACAUUGGGACUGAGACACGGCCCAGACUCCUACGGGAGGCAGCAGUGGGGAAUAUUGCACAAUGGGCGAAAGCCUGAUGCAGCGACGCCGCGUGAAGGAUGAAGUAUUUCGGUAUGUAAACUUCUAUCAGCAGGGAAGAAAAUGACGGUACCUGACUAAGAAGCCCCGGCUAACUACGUGCCAGCAGCCGCGGUAAUACGUAGGGGGCAAGCGUUAUCCGGAUUUACUGGGUGUAAAGGGAGCGUAGACGGCUGUGCAAGUCUGAAGUGAAAGGCAUGGGCUCAACCUGUGGACUGCUUUGGAAACUGUGCAGCUAGAGUGUCGGAGAGGUAAGUGGAAUUCCUAGUGUAGCGGUGAAAUGCGUAGAUAUUAGGAGGAACACCAGUGGCGAAGGCGGCUUACUGGACGAUGACUGACG